rnacentral:misc_RNA from 1 species
GGAAGUCUGAAAAGCUCAGAUGCGGCAGAAGAUCAAGUUAAAAGAAGAAAAAGUGCAUCAAGUGAUUCUAGAAUUGUUCUUAAGCAAAGAGAAGUACAGUUAGAGAUUGACAUGCUUGAUCAACAAAAUUCUCAAUUAAAGACCUUAGUAGAAGAGAAAGUUGAAGAAGCAGAUAUUCUAACUUCCAGAGUUCUGGAGCUUGAUUUUCAAUUGUCGAAAGAAAAAGAGGAAUAUAGAAGGAAUGUUUCAAAAAUUAAGAAGUUUGUCAAGACAUAUAAGCGGUAUGUGCGGGUUCAAGAGGAUUUGAAAAAGUCACAAGUUCGUCUUCAGAGGUUGGGAGAUCACCUUGGCUCUGACACUACCAUAAAUGGUGGAAAUGAAGAGGAUUCAAGCAUCAAUAUUGUCAGUGAUGGAGAGGCUCCUGGUUAUCAUACUGUCUGCCCACCGAAUGAGGUGCAUAAUAAUCAUUCCCCUGGCAAGAAAGGUCUGCUUGUUAAAUGUGAUACUGUUGAAGAAUCAACAAAAGCAAAUUUGACCCAUGGUGGAGGAUAUCAUGUUGAGACUACAAGACUGGGGAAGCUUUCUCAAUUGAAUGCAUGCAAGGAAGUUGAGAUGGUGGAGAGUGGGAAUGAUGGUCAUCAGCCUACAACAAAUGGAAGCAAACAAAAGAGAGGACAUAGUGUUUCUGCAAGCAUGCCCUCUGCAGAUAAGCCAAAGGGCUCAGGCUUGGGCCUUUCAGCACCAUCAACCAGCAUGGCUGCUCAUGCAAUUGAUGAAUUAGUGGAGAUUGAAGUGGAGGAGAAUAUUGAGGUGGUUGAAACUACUUCAGUGGAAAUUGAUAAAGGAGCCACUACUUAUGGGGUCAGAAGGGUACCAUUUCUCCUUCCUCCACCUCCUCCAUUCCCUCUGAGUAAUUAUUCGCAGUACAAGGGCAAAGACGAGAAUGUGGAUGUGGAAGGGCUGGAGGAGGAGAUGAUAGAUGUUGACAUCGUUUGAAUCCAUAAUACUUGCUGCAAAGGAUUUUAUCUUUCAAUGUGGCUUGUCUAUAACACAAAGACUGGAUCAUGUGAUAGUUUUGGGUUAUAAUCAGACUAGAAUCCUAUCGUUAUUUUUUUUUCUAUAAGGAGUUAUUUUUAUAAAUUUGUUGCUUAUCAAGGCCUGUACCUGAAGAG